AUGAACCAGCUAUUCCGGCUAGACAGCCGAGGCCUAAACCGCAUCAACACAGCCAUCGUGGUCCUAAUCCCGAAGAAGCAAGGGGCGGACACCUUGACAGACUUUAGACCGAUUUCACUACUACAUAGUCUGAUCAAAAUCUUAACGAAAAUCCUGGCAAGCAGACUUGUGCCCAAGCUAGAGGGUUUGGUUGACCAAUGCCAGAGUGCAUUCAUCAAAAAACGC
rnacentral:rRNA from 1 species